CAGAAACAUUCUUCAAUGAUUACUACCAAAGAGAAUUCUCGGUCUGCCAGAAGCCAUCCUGCCCAUGCGGACAAAGGCCCGCUUGCUUAAGUAUGAGAAAGUGGGGAGACGGAUGUCAUUGCAAAUGUGUAAAAGCCACGGCUGGUUGUACUAUGCCGUUUGGUCCUUAUGAGUGCAUUCACGCUUGCAACCAAUGCAUGUGCUGGUGCGUUGCCGAUCCUCCAUUUAAACGCCCCAAGCCCACUUGCUGCAAACC